rnacentral:rRNA from 1 species
AUUGCUAUCGGAGUCCGAUUUAGCCAUGCUAGUUGUGCGGGUUCAGGCCCGCAGCGGAAAGCUCAGUAACACGUGGCCAAGCUACCCUGUGGAUGGGAACAAUCUCGGGAAACUGAGGCUAAUUCCCAAUAACGCUCGACCCAUGGAAUGGGUCGAGCCGGAAACGCUCCGGCGCCACAGGAUGCGGCUGCGGCCGAUUAGGUAGACGGUGGGGUAACGGCCCACCGUGCCCAUAAUCGGUACGGGUUGUGAGAGCAAGAGCCCGGAGACGGAAUCUGAGACAAGAUUCCGGGCCCUACGGGGCGCAGCAGGCGCGAAACCUUUACACUGUACGCAAGUGCGAUAAGGGGACUCCGAGUGUGAAGGCAUAGAGCCUUCACUUUUGUACACCGUAAGGUGGUGUACGAAUAAGGGCUGGGCAAGACCGGUGCCAGCCGCCGCGGUAAUACCGGCAGCCCGAGUGAUGGCCGAUAUUAUUGGGCCUAAAGCGUCCGUAGUUGGCUGGACAAGUCCGUUGGGAAAUCUGCUCGCUUAACGAGCAGGCGUCCAGCGGAAACUGUUCGGCUUGGGACCGGAAGACCUGAGGGGUACGUCCGGGGUAGGAGUGAAAUCCCGUAAUCCUGGACGGACCACCGGUGGCGAAAGCGCCUCAGGAGGACGGAUCCGACAGUGAGGGACGAAAGCUAGGGUCUCGAACCGGAUUAGAUACCCGGGUAGUCCUAGCUGUAAACGAUGCCCGCUAGGUGUGGCGCAGGCUACGAGCCUGCGCUGUGCCGUAGGGAAGCCGAGAAGCGGGCCGCCUGGGAAGUACGUCUGCAAGGAUGAAACUUAAAGGAAUUGGCGGGGGAGCACUACAACCGGAGGAGCCUGCGGU